rnacentral:sRNA from 1 species
CCAUCCGAACACUAUACGUAUCUGCUCCUCCGCUGUCUUCGCAGGCUUCUCGCGGAGAAUCGCGAAUAAUAGGCCCCCCACCUACACGUCGCGAACUACGGCAAACGCCUCUGCGAACACCCCGCUCCACUGUCGAGGAUAUUGAAUUAGGCCAAGUUGAUUGUGGUCGCUGGGUUAAAUAAAAGGGCUGUGGGGUUGUGCAUUGUGUUUUGGUUGGGUUGGGUUCGACCAAGUUGGAAAAACGGGGACGGACGACUGUUCAUUGAAACUUUGUCUGUUGUUUAUAAUACGCUGCGCAGAGGCGCAUUGUCCACGCUCUUCGUGUGCGUUUGGGAUGGUGGAUUUUGGAACUCUGGCAUAAAAUAUAGAUUUAAAUACGGAACUCAGCAGCAGCAACAGCAGCAGCGGCAGUCGCAUGCAUGCCGCACCACUCGCGCGAACGAGAGCGGGGUGAAUACCGCUCUCGAGACCGUGAUCGGAGACAGUACCACUACGAGCAAGCAAAUACGCACGAUCGACACGAAUAUACCUCUCAUACCUACGAUGACUACAGGAAUGAUAUCCAAGAUAGUGACGAUGGCGCUGACGAUGCUCUCUUCAACGAUCGAAGACGGAGCCGACAUUCCCGUCGAAAUUCCUCCUCCCACCCGCAAGCUCGGCCCUCACCAGC